GAGUGGCAUCAGGAUGUCUGAGAGGAGAGCAUGGUGUUUUUGCUUCAUUGGAUCCAUGCAGGUCUUGGAGGGUGGUGGCCCACUCUUUCUGGGCCAAGUAGAGGGUGGCUCAGACACCCCCCCUUCCUCCAGGCUUCUCAUCUGUAACUGGUGAAGCCCGGAAGAGCUUGUUGUUCAAGAGGAAAUCUUGUGUUACUUCUUUAUGAAGGACUCCAGCCUGGUGGAGAUGAAUGAGUCCUGAAGAUGGAAUCGAAGCUGUUUGGGCACAAUACUUUAAUCAGCAUUUAAUGACCCAGUCGAAAAUUCAUUGUUUGGACCCAAGCACUGGUGGGAAAGGCAGGAGGGGAGGCCUGCCUUCCUUCCUCCCUCCCGAGCCCUACAGCAGGCCAUGGAGUGGUGAGCGAGUUCGUACAGUGCCAACCACAUUCCCAGAAACUUCCAGCAGAGGUUAAUCCUGCUCCUCUCAGGAAAAAGUGAUUCAGCUCCGGUCCACCCUGGGUGCAGCGGUCCUUCUGCCAAGAUGCCUUCAUAUCAUACAGCUAUUAUUUUCGGGAGGAUUCCAAGUGAGGGCAGUCAGGGUGGGCUUGGCCCAUUCUCUAGACUUUGGAAGGUAAUGUUCUAUAGAGGCCUGUUCUGAAGCUUUACCAGGUCAAACCGGAGAAGAACCCAACAAGUAACUCAUCCCAGCCUAACUAUUCUUCAAGGGCAAUCAACCUACAGCAUCCAAGCACAGAGAAAUCAAAUCCAUGGAGAAUCUUCAAAUUAGGCUCAGAAUCCAUUUGGGUCAAUGAAUUUACUGUUAUUAAGAUCUUAGUUGUGUUCAACCAUGAUUUGACAUACCUUAGAGUGAGAAGAUAUUCUUCCUGGCCUCAGACUAGUUGAAGGUAGAGAGAGAGACAGGCCCUUGGGUGUGGGGAGACCUCUCCUGGGAUAAUACACACAAAAAACCAAGAGCUGCUCACUGUGGUGCAGGAGACAGCAGGGCCUGAAGCCAGAGGCUCUGUGUCCUUGAAUACAAUGUUUUACUCCUCUGACCCCUGUUACUGUGAUUUGGAGAGGCAGACAAUAUAGGAUGGGCUUUGCAGGCAGGGAGGUCCAGUUAUAAUCCCAGCUCUUACUAAGUUGGGUAAGACUCACUCUGAGACUUAGUUUCUUCUGUCAUCUCUCAAUAGAAUCAUAAAGGUACUUUCCUCUUAGUGUUGUUUUAAAAUUCAGUAAAAUAAUGCAGGCUUAGCACAGGGUCUGAUGUAAAUUUUCAAUGAAUUAUCGUUGUCAAUAUUGUUCUGGAAAACAAGAGGGCAUAUUAGAAGAUCAAAAGUACUGCCAAGCAUUGAAGUGCCAAUUCUAGAUCCAGUCUCAGCCCUCUGAGAAUGGAUAUCAUUGUUUUCAAGCCAUUCAGAAACCAAUGUGAAUUGAACACCUAGUAUGAGCUCUCUGAGGGAAGAGCCAAGUCAUGCAUUUUUUAUCUUAAGGGGUCUUCAAUACCUCUAGCCCAAAACAGUAUCUCCAUCAGGAUUCUUCUCUGAUAGUGUUCAUUUCUUUUUUCUCAAUGGAUGCCUUAAAAAAAAAAUCCUACAAGGAAACCUGUACUCCUCAAAUACACCACUCAGGUGACCAUUAAAUCAUUUACAUUGUU
rnacentral:lncRNA from 10 species